ACAUAGAAUGGUUCAUAGUAUAAAAAGAGGAAGAUAUUAAGAAUCGUGCUGUUGCUAUGAUUUUUCUUUGCUGACAAAAGGAGACAGCAUCUAUGAGGGCUGUAAUCUAACUUCAUUAAAUAGAAACCCUCAGGACAAAAGCAUGGACAAAAUAAAAUUGAAUGGAAUAAGCCAAAGCUAGGAAAAAAUAUAUAUGGCUGUAAACUUAACCCAAGUGGUAAGGCAGUAAAACUGUCAUCACCUACGCUAAUGUUAAAUAGUGCCAAGAGUUGUGCCAUGCAGAACUGUGAAGACAGGAGUUACCAUGAUAAUGAGAUGGAUUGGGGAUUUAGAGGGCAAAGAACCUGCCUGGAGUAGGAGGGAGAUGUAUCAGGCUCUGGCAGUGCUGAAUUUGCAGAAAAUACCAGGAGAGUGGGCAGCUGAGGUAAAUGGCAAAGAACUGCAGAAGAGACAGGAAAUCAGAAAGGGACUCAUAAAUGUCUGCUGAUGAUGCAGCCAUUCUCUUGUAAAAGAACAAGGAAAAAUUGUUUCCCACUACAAUAAAAAGAAGGUAUAACAAAUAAAUGCAGUCCCUUCUAAUAAGGUAAGUAGGUGUUUGCUUACGUGUGUACAUAGUUUUGUCAUAUGAAUUAUUUUGCAUUUCAAGAUCUAUGUAUGAAUGUUGUAUGCAGAUGUGCUUCCCAGAACACAGGAAUGUGUGUUCCACUGGAAUGUGUCCAGAGGAGGGCAACUAAAAUGAUCAAGGGUCUGGAGAACAAAUCCUAUGAGGAGCAGCUUAAAGAGCUGGGCAUGUUUAACCUGCAGAAGAGAAGGCUGAGAGGAGACAUGGUGACUGCCAUGUAUAAAUAUGUGAGGGGAAGUCAUAGGGAGGAGGGAUCAAGCUUGUUUUCUGUGCCCUGGAGACCAGGAUGUGGAACAAUGGCUUCAAACUACAGGAAAGGAGAUUCCACCUGAACAUUAGGAAGAACUUCCUCAUUGUGAGAGGAAGUGGAACUCUCUGCCGCGGAGUCUGGUGGAGGCUCCUUCCUUGAAAGCUUUUAAACAGGCUGGAUGGCUAUCUGCCAGGGGUACAUUGAAUGUGAUUUUCUUGCUUCUUGGCAGGGGGUUGGACUGGAUGUUGCAUGAAGUGUCUUCCAAAUCUAUGAUUCUAUCAUUCUAGGUGGGCAUGAACAGUAUCUAAUGGCUCUUAAUUUCACAUUGCCCAAUGUGGCACAUAUUUUCAUUCUCAUUUUCUGUUUUACAAUGUGGAUGGAAGUGGUUGUGCUUCUACCCUGCAGUGGUAAAUGUUAAUCUUUGUACAUUUUGUGAUAACAGGGAAAACUUAAGAGAGAAAAAUCCUUGAUGUGAGCCACCAUAAAAUGGUUCGUCGGCCCAUCCCUCUGUUUGACAAUCUUCGAGGAAAAGUGCAUCUUUUAUAAAGCUUUGUGAAGCAUCUCAGGCUGCAAGGAAGCAUUAAGGAAAGGACAAUGAAGACUUUUGACCCGAUCAUUCCCACAGACAGGGAAGAAGAAACUUCUCACACCAGGUAAUGGGACAGCAUUGGAGCCUCCGGUGGUGCAGUGUGAUAAAACGCUGAGCUGCUGAACUUGCAGACUGAAAGGUCACAGGUUCUAAUCCGAGGAGCGGAGUGAGUGCCUGCUGUUAGCUCCAGCUUCUGCCAACCUAGCAGUUUGAAAACAUGCAAAUGUUUUUGUGGGAACCAUGAAACUGCAAAGUAUUACCUUCAAGAUAUUAUGAGACUCUAGCAGUCCUGGGACACAGCUGGGAGAAGGACGUCUUGUCUGGCAGCAACAUCUGACUUCUCGACAACCUCCUCAGGCAUUGGCAGCUCAAGAGCAACUUCUGGUAUGACUUAGUGAUGCUGCUAAAUCCCCAAAUUUGUCAGCAUGUAAGCCAGAGAACAGCCAAAGAAUGGCACUUCACAGAAGAAGAAAGAUGGGGAAGAGGAAUGGAAGCACCAGGAGGAGAAGGAAAAAGAACAAGAAGCAGAAGAGAGACCCAAAGUCUGCAAAAAUAAAAAAAAGAAGAUUUCUGGGAUCGCAAUAAAAAUCCCCAACAUCAUGGCUUUUGGAUUCUUAAAGCAUCUUUUCAAGCCAUGAAUGCUGAAAUUAUAUGAAGGGUCAACAAUAAUUGUUAAAAUAUGUCACCAAUGAGCAAUGUAAUCUAAAUCUCGUAAACCCACUCACUCAUGGGGCCUUGAUAGGCACCACUUAUGUUCCUUUAUUAAUUCACUAUAUCUUCUCUAUUUGGGUAUAAAAAUGGAUUUAAGCCUAUGGCUUUAAGAAGAAUUGCAUUUCCCUUUCGGUUUCUUCCCUAUCAGAGUUUUUUUAAGGAACAAUUUCACUCCAUCAAGUUGGUUAGCUCCUCUUUAAUAUCACUGUCACAGAUAGUCAGAAUUAUUACAUGUAAUUGCAAGUUUGCUGAUUGCUGACACUUGCGAUGGCUGUUAGCUGCCAUGGCAUAAACAGUUCUGUAUAAUGUGCCUAUUUAUUAAGUUUUGAGGUAGUUUUUAUAGCUUAAAGCCACAAAUGGAAUCUAAAAAAGCAUGAUAUGUAAAAUAAUUAGUUAUUCAGAAAUAAGCUUUUGAAUCUUUUAGAGAUUGUUGUAACAAUAAUAUCACCAGCAUAUUAAAACUGUAUGUGUAGGGCCAAGCCUGUCAGAUAUAAAUAACUUUGACAAACUGACAGUCUUUUCAUCUUGUCAGCUGAAUUAAAAAAAAUGAACAAACUAUGAAAGUUCUAUUUUGGCCUCUUUUUUGAUAUUCUUCAAAAGCUUCAUAAUUUAACAAAAGCAUUUAUUUAGAAAAUUCAUAAUGUGUUUUUCCACAAGAAGAAAGAAAGGCUUGGCAGAUCAGAGGUACAACAUGUCCAACAUAAACAAGACAUCACAAUAGUAUGGUAACUAAAACUGUCCUGUGGAUUUUUCCUAUCUUCCUAUUCUUCUUGUAGCCAGGCUCUCUGUCUUCACUUUAUAUCUUUCAUUAAACAUACCUUGUAAUGAUGUCAGCAUUGCCUGAUUCUGAUGGCUUCCAUAUUGCUAUGUGAAGUUUAAACUUCAUGUCAAAAUGUACUUUGACAAAUACUAUUAAACAAACAUCACACAUUAUUUGCAACAGCAAAUGGUGGCAGUAUAGCUGCACUCUGAUGCCAUCCUGUCUGCAAUAUCUUAAAUCUCAAUGUUAGGGCUCUUCCAGACAGGUCCCAAAAUGUGGGCCCCGAUGGACGUUUACCUGAGGCAUCCUAACAAGGCAUCCAAAAGAUUUGGGAUGGCAUGCGGAAACCCACUCGGGAAAGCUUGGUUUUUUGGGGGGAGAUAUGGGGACUUAAACCCGCUUUAGAACUGGUUUAUUUAACCCACUCUGAAGAAGGUUUAAGCCUUGUGUGGAAGCGCCCUUAGCCUUGGACAGAAAAUUUAAGCCCUGUGGAAGUAUGGAAAGUGCAAAUCAUACUG